GAACGGGUGAGUAACACGUGGGAAACCUACCUCUUAGCAGGGGAUAACAUUUGGAAACAGAUGCUAAUACCGUAUAACAAUAGCAAUCGCAUGGUUGCUACUUAAAAGAUGGUUCUGUUAUCACUAAGAGAUGGUCCCGCGGUGCAUUAGUUAGUUGGUGAGGUAAUGGCUCACCAAGACGAUGAUGCAUAGCCGAGUUGAGAGACUGAUCGGCCACAAUGGGACUGAGACACGGCUCAUACUCCUACGGGAGGCAGCAGUAGGGAAUCUUCCACAAUGGGCGAAAGCCUGAUGGAGCAACGCCGCGUGUGUGAUGAAGGGUUUCGGCUCGUAAAACACUGUUGUAAGAGAAGAAUGACAUUGAGAGUAACUGUUCAAUGUGUGACGGUAUCUUGCCAGAAAGGAACGGCUAAAUACGUGCCAGCAGCCGCGGUAAUACGUAUGUUCCAAGCGUUAUCCGGAUUUAUUGGGCGUAAAGCGAGCGCAGACGGUUAUUUAAGUCUGGAGUGAAAGCCCUCAGCUCAACUGAGGAAUUGCUUUGGAAACUGGAUGACUUGAGUGCAGUAGAGGAAAGUGGAACUCCAUGUGUAGCGGUGAAAUGCGUAGAUAUAUGGAAGAACACCAGUGGCGAAAGCGGCUUUCUGGACUGUAACUGACGUUGAGGCUCGAAAGUGUGGGUAGCAAACAGGAUUAGAUACCCUGGUAGUCCACACCGUAAACGAUGAGUGCUAGGUGUUUGAGGGUUUCCGCCCUUAAGUGCCGCAG
rnacentral:rRNA from 1 species